AUGGCCAACACACGUAACAUUUUCGUGACAGAGAGGGUGCGGUCUUUGGCAGGCGAUGCUCGACGGCAUCGCUGGAUAGGACGUCGGUGCAUGGUUCUGGGCCGCGAUGACCUUGACAUGCAGCGGCAUGGUGUUGCUUCCCAAACGGGGAUUGCCGACGUGGCAAUGGGAUGGCCGGGAUGGGUUGUUCGGCGCGCGGCGGAGGCGAUAUUAGUGGGCCGGCCCAGUUUGGCCCGUCAUUUCGCUUCGUUCUCUCAGCGUCCCCCUGAAUUCUUCCUUCUCUGGCGACGGCAAUGGCGACCGGCGGUUGAUCGCCACCUCAGGGACGAUCGUGACGGCGCGACGGCGCGUCGAAGAAGAAGUGAAAUCAUGGACUCAAGUGAGAUUUUGAACGUUCGGUUUCAUAUUGGAGGGAAGUUCAUCCGCAUUGGUCCAAAUUUGGACUAUGUUGGAGGAGAUCAAGCAAUGUCAGAGAUUGAGAGGGAUAAAUUGUCUCUGCAGGAAGUGAAAGGCUAUUUAAAAGAUCAUACUCAGUUGAUGGAAUCGAUGAACUUCUAUUUUCUGCUUCCUGGAAAAGAGCUUAUCAAUGGCUUAGUGUUCCUUAAUGAUGACAAUUGGUGUGUGAAGAUGGCUGAGUACAUUUGUGUUGGAGGAGUUGCUGAUGUGUAUGUGGAGUAUCAUGGAGAGGAAGAUAGCAAUGACAACAACAGUGGGAGUGAUUUUGAGGAUGAAAUCAUGGAACAGAGUGAUGAUGAUGAAGUAGAUGCAGUUAUAACCGCUGAAGAACCAGAUGCAGUUAUAACUGCUGAUGAACCAGAUGCAGUAACUGGUGUUGAACCUGCAAAGUCUGACACUGAUGUGCUCAUACCUGAUGAAACUGGUGUGAUCACUCAAAGAAUUUGCAGCCCCUUGAAGCAGAGAAGAAGCAAUGCCAGAGAAGUAGAUGUGGAUGAAAUGGCAGGCAUGGAAGGAGUUUUUUCUCAGGUUUUGGAUCCAAGUCAACCUGCAUCAACCCGUGCUUCUGAACCUCAGGCUUCAGGGCAUGUCAAUAACCAGAUGGUGAUAGCUGCAAAUGUUGACAGUGACAAUCAAAAUUCAGACUCAGACAGUGACACUAAAUACAUUGGACAUACUGAUGAUAGUGGGGAGGAUUCAGAAGUUGUGGAGCUCAGGAGACAUGCUAGGAAAUUUAAGAAAAGGAUGAAGGACUCCAAGAGCUAG
rnacentral:rRNA from 1 species